CUUGAGUACGCAUAGCUUUUCCCCACAUGUGUGGGAAACAAAAUAAUAUAAACAGAAACAGCUGAUUUCUGUCUAAUUAUAUUGAAUUGAAUCGAAAAAUUUAUUUGAAUUAUUCCAUAAAAAUAAAUCAUUUGCUCUUGGUCUAGACGUGAAGUUUCUGAGAGUGCGCAAAUAUUCCAUGCUCCGAAUCUGGCCCUAUUUUUCAUGCAUAAAGUCGUUAUUUGUAUGAGUGUUUGUUUUAACCGAGCCUUCUUCAUUGUGGCUUCAUUAAUAAGUUUGGUUUACGAUUGACCGGUUAUCAGCCUAUCUAUCCGGUUCUGAUGUCGAGAUAUCGACUGGAGCGUCCAGGACCUGAUGAAAAGUAUUUGGUUUGGUUUAACAACCCCAUUUA